rnacentral:rRNA from 1 species
GACGAACGCUGGCGGCGUGCUUAACACAUGCAAGUCGAACGGAAAGGCCCUGCUUUUGUGGGGUGCUCGAGUGGCGAACGGGUGAGUAACACGUGAGUAACCUGCCCUUGACUUUGGGAUAACUUCAGGAAACUGGGGCUAAUACCGGAUAGGAGCUCCUGCUGCAUGGUGGGGGUUGGAAAGUUUCGGCGGUUGGGGAUGGACUCGCGGCUUAUCAGCUUGUUGGUGGGGUAGUGGCUUACCAAGGCUUUGACGGGUAGCCGGCCUGAGAGGGUGACCGGCCACAUUGGGACUGAGAUACGGCCCAGACUCCUACGGGAGGCAGAAGUGGGGAAUAUUGCACGAUGGGCGGAAGCAUGAUGCAGCAACGCCGCGUGCGGGAUGACGGCCUUCGGGUUGUAAACCGCUUUCGCCUGUGACGAAGCGUGAGUGACGGUAAUGGGUAAAGAAGCACCGGCUAACUACGUG